GAAGAAUCCACCGAAGCAACACAAAGCUAAAGUGUUGCCCAGUCCCAAAGAGCUGAAGGUUUGGUGAUAAAGUGCAACAUUGCCAUCAUCUAUGGAAGGAGAGACUUCCCUAAGAAAAACUCUUGAAUCAAAGAUGCCUCUAUGGAAAGAAAUAAUGACAAUACCUCUUGUCUCACCUCUCAAGCUAGAUGCUCCCUCUGCUUUAAUUCCUAUUCCAUCUGAUGAUCUACUCAAAGGACUUGUCGUAUUGAUAAAAGUUCACGAGACAACAGUAGCUCAACUCAUGAAAUCAAAU
rnacentral:lncRNA from 1 species